rnacentral:rRNA from 1 species
UUGAUCAUGGCUCAGGAUGAACGCUAGCGGCAGGCUUAAUACAUGCAAGUCGAGGGGCAGCAUGAUUGUAGCAAUACAAUUGAUGGCGACCGGCAAACGGGUGCGGAACACGUACACAACCUUCCUGUAACUGGGGCAUAACCCGGAGAAAUUCGGAUUAAUACCCCAUAGCAUAAUGAUGUGGCAUCACAUUAUUAUUAAAGAUUCAUUGGUUACAGAUGGGUGUGCGUAUGAUUAGCUAGUUGGUGUAGGUAACGGCUCACCAAGGCGACGAUCAUUAACUGGUGUGAGAGCACGACCACCAGUCACACGGGCACUGAGACACGGGCCCGACUCCUACGGGAGGCAGCAGUAAGGAAUAUUGGUCAAUGGACGCAAGUCUGAACCAGCCAUGCCGCGUGAAGGAUGAAGGUCCUCUGGAUUGUAAACUUCUUUUAUAGGGGAAGAAAUGCAUUUUUUCUAAAGUGUUUGACGGUACCCUAGGAAUAAGCACCGGCUAACUCCGUGCCAGCAGCCGCGGUAAUACGGAGGGUGCAAGCGUUAUCCGGAUUCACUGGGUUUAAAGGGUGCGUAGGCGGGUAUGUAAGUCAGUGGUGAAAUCCUCGAGCUUAACUCGAGAACUGCCAUUGAUACUAUGUAUCUUGAAUGUCAUGGAGGUGAGCGGAAUAUGUCAUGUAGCGGUGAAAUGCUUAGAUAUGACAUAGAACACCGAUUGCGAAGGCAGCUCACUACACGAAUAUUGACGCUGAGGCACGAAAGCGUGGGGAUCAAACAGGAUUAGAUACCCUGGUAGUCCACGCCCUAAACGAUGGAUACUCGACAUCAGCGAUACACAGUUGGUGUCUGAGCGAAAGCAUUAAGUAUCCCACCUGGGAAGUACGACCGCAAGGUUGAAACUCAAAGGAAUUGACGGGGGUC